GUCCUCGUAGAUCAGAGGUAGAUCCCUUCCUUUCGAUAUUCUGGUUCUGUUUGCUUUAAGGAAGAGACGUGGGUUCGACUCCCACCGAGGACA